rnacentral:rRNA from 1 species
AUUGAACGCUGGCGGCAGGCCUAACACAGGUGCAAGUCGAGCGGUAACACAAGGGAGCUUGCUCCUGAGGUGACGAGCGGCGGACGGGUGAGUAAUGCCUAGGUAUCUGCCCAGUCGAGGGGGAUAACAGUUGGAAACGACUGCUAAUACCGCAUACGCCCUACGGGGGAAAGGAGGGGACCUUCGGGCCUUCCGCGAUUGGAUGAACCUAGGUGGGAUUAGCUAGUUGGUGAGGUAAUGGCUCACCAAGGCGACGAUCCCUAGCUGGUCUGAGAGGAUGAUCAGCCACACUGGAACUGAGACACGGUCCAGACUCCUACGGGAGGCAGCAGUGGGGAAUAUUGCACAAUGGGCGAAAGCCUGAUGCAGCCAUGCCGCGUGUGUGAAGAAGGCCUUCGGGUUGUAAAGCACUUUCAGCGAGGAGGAAAGGUUAGUGAUUAAUACUCACUAGCUGUGACGUUACUCGCAGAAGAAGCACCGGCUAACUUCGUGCCAGCAGCCGCGGUAAUACGAGGGGUGCAAGCGUUAAUCGGAAUUACUGGGCGUAAAGCGUACGCAGGCGGUUUGUUAAGCGAGAUGUGAAAGCCCCGGGCUCAACCUGGGAACUGCAUUUCGAACUGGCAAACUAGAGUCUUGUAGAGGGGGGUAGAAUUUCAGGUGUAGCGGUGAAAUGCGUAGAGAUCUGAAGGAAUACCGGUGGCGAAGGCGGCCCCCUGGACAAAGACUGACGCUCAGGUACGAAAGCGUGGGGAGCAA